UAUAAUAUUACAGUAUAGUGGUAUAGUUCAAUAUAGUAAUAUAUAAUGCUAAUAUUGUGCUAUGCUAAUAAUAUAAUAUAUUGUAUGUACAUACAGCUGCUCCGAGUCCCCUUCAAGGUGAGAAGGAUGGGAUAUAAAUGUAGUAAAUAAAUACAGUAAUUAAAUAAAUACUUUUAGACUUAGGCUCGGCCUUGAAGGCACAAAACAACAACAACAACAAUCCUAAUUAACUUGACUAUUUCAUUGAUCAGUAGCAGGCCCACACUUUCCAUUGAAAUCCUGAUAGGUUUAUGUUGGUUAAAAUUAUUUUCAUUUUUAAAUAUUGUAUUGUUCUUUCAUUGGGUUGUUGUAUGUCUUUCGGGCUGUGUGGCCAUGUUCCAGAAGCAUUCUCUCCUGACGUUUCGCCCACAUCUAUGGCAGGCAUCCUCAGAGGUUGUGAGGUAUGGAGAAAACUAAGCAAAGAGGUUAAUAUAUAUCUGUGGAAAGUCUAGGGUGAGAGAGGUCAGUGUGAAUGUUGUGUAGUUAAUCACUUUAAUUAGCAUUGAAAAGCUUAUCUGCUGUCUUCUUCCUGCCUCUGGGGCAUCCUUUGUUUAGAGUCGUUAACUGCCCUUGGUUGAUUCAUGUCUGGAAAUCCUCUGGAACAUGGCCCACACAGCCCGAAAGACAUACAACAACCCUGUGAUCCCGGCCAUGAAAGCCUUCGACAACACAUUGUUCUUUCAUUGUUGUUGUUGUUGUUGUUUUUGCACUACAAAUAAGACAUGUGCAGUGUGCAUCGGAAUUUGUUUGUAUUUUUUUUUUCAAAUGAUAAUUCGGCCCCUCAACAGUCUGAAGGAUUGUGGACCGGCCCUUGGCUUUAAAAGUUUGAGGACCCCUGUUCUAGACAGAAGAAUGCAUAAUGCUUCCUGUUUCAGCCGAACAGUCCACCACGAUCUUCUUGUCUCGCAUGAACGAUGGUCUGCUUGUUUACUGACUGUUGUUUUUGCCCAUUGGCAUUGAUUGCUAUCUUAACCUUUCGACACAACCUUGCAGGCUCGGUGCUUGAUGGAAGCCUACAGUUCUGCCAUGACAAUUAUGGAGCGGUCAGGUUCAAAAGCACACCAAGGGCAAUCUAGUUCCAAGCCCCUGCCAAGGAGGGAUCACUACCUGUGAUCUGUAGGUGGCCGGAAGCUCAGUAGAAACAC
rnacentral:lncRNA from 1 species